rnacentral:rRNA from 1 species
UUAAGCGACUAAGCGUACACGGUGGAUGCCCUGGCAGUCAGAGGCGAUGAAGGACGUGCUAAUCUGCGAUAAGCGUCGGUAAGGUGAUAUGAACCGUUAUAACCGGCGAUUUCCGAAUGGGGAAACCCAGUGUGAUUCGUCACACUAUCAUUAACUGAAUCCAUAGGUUAAUGAGGCGAACCGGGGGAACUGAAACAUCUAAGUACCCCGAGGAAAAGAAAUCAACCGAGAUUCCCCCAGUAGCGGCGAGCGAACGGGGAGCAGCCCAGAGCCUGAAUCAGUGUGUGUGUUAGUGGAAGCGUCUGGAAAGGCGCGCGAUACAGGGUGACAGCCCCGUACACAAAAAUGUACAUGCUGUGAGCUCGAUGAGUAGGGCGGGACACGUGGUAUCCUGUCUGAAUAUGGGGGGACCAUCCUCCAAGGCUAAAUACUCCUGACUGACCGAUAGUGAACCAGUACCGUGAGGGAAAGGCGAAAAGAACCCCGGCGAGGGGAGUGAAAAAGAACCUGAAACCGUGUACGUACAAGCAGUGGGAGCCUCUUUAUGGGGUGACUGCGUACCUUUUGUAUAAUGGGUCAGCGACUUAUAUUCUGUAGCAAGGUUAACCGAAUAGGGGAGCCGAAGGGAAACCGAGUCUUAACUGGGCGUUAAGUUGCAGGGUAUAGACCCGAAACCCGGUGAUCUAGCCAUGGGCAGGUUGAAGGUUGGGUAACACUAACUGGAGGACCGAACCGACUAAUGUUGAAAAAUUAGCGGAUGACUUGUGGCUGGGGGUGAAAGGCCAAUCAAACCGGGAGAUAGCUGGUUCUCCCCGAAAGCUAUUUAGGUAGCGCCUCGUGAAUUCAUCUCCGGGGGUAGAGCACUGUUUCGGCAAGGGGGUCAUCCCGACUUACCAACCCGAUGCAAACUACGAAUACCGGAGAAUGUUAUCACGGGAGACACACGGCGGGUGCUAACGUCCGUCGUGAAGAGGGAAACAACCCAGACCGCCAGCUAAGGUCCCAAAGUCAUGGUUAAGUGGGAAACGAUGUGGGAAGGCCCAGACAGCCAGGAUGUUGGCUUAGAAGCAGCCAUCAUUUAAAGAAAGCGUAAUAGCUCACUGGUCGAGUCGGCCUGCGCGGAAGAUGUAACGGGGCUAAACCAUGCACCGAAGCUGCGGCAGCGACGCUNNNNNNNNNNNNNNNNNNNNNNNNNNNNNNNNNNNNNNNNAUGCGUUGUUGGGUAGGGGAGCGUUCUGUAAGCCUGCGAAGGUGUGCUGUGAGGCAUGCUGGAGGUAUCAGAAGUGCGAAUGCUGACAUAAGUAACGAUAAAGCGGGUGAAAAGCCCGCUCGCCGGAAGACCAAGGGUUCCUGUCCAACGUUAAUCGGGGCAGGGUGAGUCGACCCCUAAGGCGAGGCCGAAAGGCGUAGUCGAUGGGAAACAGGUUAAUAUUCCUGUACUUGGUGUUACUGCGAAGGGGGGACGGAGAAGGCUAUGUUGGCCGGGCGACGGUUGUCCCGGUUUAAGCGUGUAGGCUGGUUUUCCAGGCAAAUCCGGAAAAUCAAGGCUGAGGCGUGAUGACGAGGCACUACGGUGCUGAAGCAACAAAUGCCCUGCUUCCAGGAAAAGCCUCUAAGCAUCAGGUAACAUCAAAUCGUACCCCAAACCGACACAGGUGGUCAGGUAGAGAAUACCAAGGCGCUUGAGAGAACUCGGGUGAAGGAACUAGGCAAAAUGGUGCCGUAACUUCGGGAGAAGGCACGCUGAUAUGUAGGUGAAGUCCCUCGCGGAUGGAGCUGAAAUCAGUCGAAGAUACCAGCUGGCUGCAACUGUUUAUUAAAAACACAGCACUGUGCAAACACGAAAGUGGACGUAUACGGUGUGACGCCUGCCCGGUGCCGGAAGGUUAAUUGAUGGGGUNAGCGCAAGCGAAGCUCUUGAUCGAAGCCCCGGUAAACGGCGGCCGUAACUAUAACGGUCCUAAGGUAGCGAAAUUCCUUGUCGGGUAAGUUCCGACCUGCACGAAUGGCGUAAUGAUGGCCAGGCUGUCUCCACCCGAGACUCAGUGAAAUUGAACUCGCUGUGAAGAUGCAGUGUACCCGCGGCAAGACGGAAAGACCCCGUGAACCUUUACUAUAGCUUGACACUGAACAUUGAGCCUUGAUGUGUAGGAUAGGUGGGAGGCUUUGAAGUGUGGACGCCAGUCUGCAUGGAGCCGACCUUGAAAUACCACCCUUUAAUGUUUGAUGUUCUAACGUUGACCCGUAAUCCGGGUUGCGGACAGUGUCUGGUGGGUAGUUUGACUGGGGCGGUCUCCUCCUAAAGAGUAACGGAGGAGCACGAAGGUUGGCUAAUCCUGGUCGGACAUCAGGAGGUUAGUGCAAUGGCAUAAGCCAGCUUGACUGCGAGCGUGACGGCGCGAGCAGGUGCGAAAGCAGGUCAUAGUGAUCCGGUGGUUCUGAAUGGAAGGGCCAUCGCUCAACGGAUAAAAGGUACUCCGGGGAUAACAGGCUGAUACCGCCCAAGAGUUCAUAUCGACGGCGGUGUUUGGCACCUCGAUGUCGGCUCAUCACAUCCUGGGGCUGAAGUAGGUCCCAAGGGUAUGGCUGUUCGCCAUUUAAAGUGGUACGCGAGCUGGGUUUAGAACGUCGUGAGACAGUUCGGUCCCUAUCUGCCGUGGGCGCUGGAGAACUGAGGGGGGCUGCUCCUAGUACGAGAGGACCGGAGUGGACGCAUCACUGGUGUUCGGGUUGUCAUGCCAAUGGCACUGCCCGGUAGCUAAAUGCGGAAGAGAUAAGUGCUGAAAGCAUCUAAGCACGAAACUUGCCCCGAGAUGAGUUCUCCCUGACCCUUUAAGGGUCCUGAAGGAACGUUGAAGACGACGACGUUGAUAGGCCGGGUGUGUAAGCGCAGCGAUGCGUUGAGCUAACCGGUACUAAUGAACCGUGAGGCUUAACCUU